rnacentral:lncRNA from 1 species
AUUUGGGUUUAUGCAGAGUCUGCUUUGAGCUUCAUUGCCAUGAAAAUGGAGCUCAAGGACUCUACAAUCCUCACUUUCCUUCUUCUCUUCUUGCUUGCCACCCCUUGUUUUUCUAGAGGUUUGAAGUUCUGCCUUCAUGAUUUAUAUUCAAAGUUGAUUAAUAUGGCCAUAUUUAAUUAAGUUGAUUAUUUUUUUUUUGUUAAUUUUGUUUUGUUGGGUUUUAGUAGGUGGAUCAGAUGUAGUGGGUACUGAGGUUUAUGAGAUUGAUUAUAGAGGUCCAGAGACCCACUCAUCAAUCCCACCACCUGAUCACUCUCAUGGGAAGCCUUUGAUCCACAAAGAAAGUGCCAUGGCAAGUCCUAAACCUAAGAGCUCUAGGGCUUCUAGCAUGGGAAGAAAGGUAAGAACAUUACAUGGAUUGAUUUGAUUUGAUUUUUUUAUAAAAUUUUUUAAAACAAAUCUUACUGGGUUUCAGCUGUUCUAGUGGAAAAUUCCAUUCAAAAGUUCUUGCUAAUUUUAACUUGUAUGAUUAAUUAGGCGUUUAAUUACUUUUGCAUUGAUGUUUAUGCUUGUAAUUUUCUUUUGCAGUCCAAGCAAAUGCAUGGAUGAAGAUCUCUGGCAGUGAGAGUGAUAAUUUUGGUGAAAGUUUUUAGUACAGAUAUAUCAGUUAAGAACAUGCUGAGAUUGAUCAAUUAAUAUAUAAAUGAUUGAUUAGCAAUAUUUAAUUCAUUGUAUGUUUUAAUUGCCUUGUGUAAAUGAGGGUUGUGAGAUCUUUUAUGUUUGGAUCAAUAUCUAUUGUAAUUACCAUUAGUGCUACUUUAAUCAGGUUUGAGAAUUAAAGAAUGCAAAUUGCAAUAGGAAGAGUGUAAUUUCUUCAAAAUUUUAUGUUAUAAGAAUAAUGUUUAGCAGCUGCUAUAAUGAUCUUAAACCUUUCUUCUUUUCCUCUAUAA